UUGACGGUGAAAUCCCACUCGGUGUCCGGGCCGAUCAGCGUGUCGUCCCCGAAGUGGGAACCCCCCGCCAGCACUCCCAGCGUCUGGCUGUCACCGUACGGGCCGGUCCUGACCUUCUGGACCUUGCCGUACGCGAUGAGCACGACCUCGUCGGCCGAGCUUCCCGCCUCCAGUAGCACGUCUCCGGGCUGGAAGUCGCGCUGGACGAACUGUCCCGCCAUGGCCUCCAGGGUCUCCAGAUCCCCGAAGCCCCGGAGCAGGGGCAGCUCGCACAGCUCCGCCGGCACCACCGACACCUGCGACCCCACGGUGGUGAAACUCACCUGCCCGUCGCCGAUCAUGUAGCUCAGCCGCCGGUUGACGCGGUAGGUGCCGCCCGACACCUGCACCCACGGCAGCAUUCGCAGCAGCCACCGCGAGGUGAUCUCCUGCAUCUGGGGCGUCGACUUGGUCGUCGUCGCCAGGUUUCGUGCGGCAGCCGUACCCAGGCUCAACUGCGACUG
rnacentral:antisense_RNA from 1 species